rnacentral:rRNA from 1 species
GAUGAACGCUGGCGGCGUGCCUAAUACAUGCCAGUCGAACGAACGGACCAGUAUCUUGCUUUUCUCAUGUUACCGGCGGACGGGUGAGUCACGCGUGGAUAACCUACCUCUAAGACUUAGCUUCCUUCGAGAGACCCUAGCUCAUACCGGAUACUCUUUUUACCCGCAUGGUUCUGGAGUGUAUCACGGUCUUGCUAUCACUUCUCGACUUAUCCGCGGUUCAUUAGCUAGUUGGUAAGGUAACGGCUUACCAAGGCACCGAUGCAUAGCCGACGUGAGAGGGUGAACGGCGACACGGGAACUGAGAGACGGCACAGACACCGACGGGAGGCAGAAGUAGGGAAGCGUCCGAAAUGGGCGAAAGACUGAAGGAGCAACGCAGGGUGAGUGAUGAAGGUCUUCGGACCGGAAAACUCUGUUAGGAGUGAAGAACAUAUGUGCAAGUAACGGUGCACAGCGUGACGGUACCUAAUCAGAAAGCCACGGCUAACUACGUG